rnacentral:lncRNA from 1 species
AUAGAAAUACAUGUGAAUAAAACCUAUGUGGAAUAUAUAUAUAGAAAGAAGUGUGAGAAAAAGAACUGAUAAUUUUUUUUUUCCAUACCAAUAUUAAGAGUGGUUAAGAGAUUCACUUAAAUGAUCCCUUAGAAUUCAAUGUGUUUUUUCAAAAAUAUAUAUAUGGUAAAUAAGUUAUAUAAUACAAUUCGAUAUUUCGUAAGAAAUAACAAUAACAUUAUAUUUUUUUUUUUUUUUUUUUUGUACUUGUUUCAGUCAUUUGACUGCGGCCAUGCUGGAGCACCGCCUUUUGAGUACAGCAGGGAUCACCACCUCCUGCCGGAGCCUCGUGGAGCUUUUAGGUGUUUUCGCUCAAUAAACACACACAACGCCCGGUCUGGGAAUCGAAACCGCGAUCCUCCGACCGCAAGUCCGCAGCCCUAACCACUAGGCCAUUGCGAUAUAAAAAAUAAAUUAGAGAUAAAACUACUAUUAUGCAACUCAAACAGUGAUAGACAUAAACCAAUACAUAAAUAACCAAUAUAUAUAUAUCAAUUUUUUAAAAAUAUAUAACUUAUAACUAGAUCUCAAAAAGUAUAAAAUGAAUGAUUAUAUAUAAUAUAAUAUACAUAUAUAUAUAUAUAUUUAUAUAUAGAAUGGUUGCAUACUGUCAAUCUAACACGAACGUGACAGCCCCACCACCGUACAUGUCUCUACGAGAGAUUUAGAAAUUUAGUAUUUCUGAUAUAUAUAUAUAUAUAUAUCUACCCAGAUAACACAGAUUUAUGUAUGUAAACAUAUAGGGAAAUAGGGAAACUGACAUACAUGCACACACACACACACACACACUUAACAUUUGCUGUGACUUCAGAAUCGAGCAAUGAGCCUGGAAACUUGCCCAGAGAGUCAAACAACUUAAGUUUCAUCCUUGGGUGUUCUAAGUGUCAGUUAGUGUAAGAGGCUAUGAAAGUAUUGAUGAUGUUUAUUGAUUAAUCUCAGUCUUGAAGUAAUCUGCAUCUCUUUACUGACUUCCUAUGCUAAAAAAAAAAGAAGUUUUUAAGAUAAAUAAAUAAAAUAAAAUGAAAUAAAAAAAAUAAAGAAACCUCUAAGAGGUGACAGCUUUUCAUUUUCUCAUUAGAGAAACCAUAAGUAGAAGUAGUUGUAGAUGUGGUAAUAGUAGUAGUAGUAGUAGUAGUUUUAGUAGUAGUAGUAGCAUAACAAUAAAUGCAACAACAGCAAUAAUACUCGUUGCCGUUUUGGACCAUUUAUGGGCAAUAAAAUGAAGAAAUGAAGACAAUGUUGGUGUUGAUGAUGGUGAUGGUGAUGAUAACAGAUGAGGAUGAAGAUGAUAAUGAUGGGGAUGAUGAUGCUUGUGAUGAUGAUAAUGAUGUUUAACGAUGAUGAAGAGGAUUCCGAUGAAAAUGACAAUGACUAUGAUGAUGGUGAUGAUGAUGAUGAUGAUGAUGAUGAUGAUGAUGACGACAGCAAUAAUGGCAAUAAUGACUGAAAAUGUUGCUGCUGAUGAUGGCGAUGAAGAUGAUGAUGGGGAAUGAUGGUGGGGAUGAUGAUGGGGAGGAUGAUGACAAGGAUAAGGAAAAUCCCGCAAAGAUUGUAAAAGUGAUAUUGUAUGUUUAUUGCUUUCCUUUUGUACACUAAUUUCUUAGAUUUUCGUUCUUUUGCAAAAAAAUUCCAUACAUGUCUUACAUAACUAUAUAAAAACCAACAAAAUCCAGAUAAAAGAUAUACAUACAUGCAUUCAUACAUAUAUACAUACAUAUAUAUAUAUAUAUUGCUAUAUGUAUAUAUAUGUAUAUGUAUAUAUAUGUAUGUGUAGUAUUAUAUUUCUCCUCUUGGUUAUGAUUAAAUGACUGCUGUAGAUAUAUAUAUAUAUAUAUAUAUAUAUAUAAAUAAUAUACAUAACAUAAUGCACAUAACUAAAUCAUUGUUAUCAUUUAUAUCUAUAGACAUGAUGUUUAAUUGGUCACACUUGAUCAUUGUUGAAACAAUUGUAAACCAUGGAAUAAAUGUAAUGCCAUAUAUAUAUAUAUAUAUAUAUAUAUAUAUAUAUAUACACACACACAUGUAUAUCCAUAUGUAUAUAUGUGUUUAUAUACAUGCCUAUAUGUACCAUAAUAAAAGUAUCUUAUAUUUAUAGACAUAUAGAAGACUCAUAUGAAAGAGUGGUUGACUAGUAGACUAAAUCCGUAGCCUGAAUAAUGCCGCAAUUUUGCCUGUGAGCUCCUUUGAUUAAGUAUGGUCUACUGCAGGCAUUUGAAUCAUGGGUGCACUUAGAGACUAACUCUGUUCUUAACACAAGUUUUAGAAGCAUCAGAAAGAGUCAUGGCUCUCUUUUUUCUCUGACCAAAUCAUAUAUAAAAGAAUAACAAAAUUUAAAAUGGAAGCAAUUUCAACUCACAUUGGAUCAUAGUUUAGAAUUUAUAUAAUUAUGCUAAAAUAACAACUGUAAAUUUAAUGAUAGAUAUAGUAAAAAGGAAAAUAGUUUUUCAUUUAGUUUAUCCAUAGAAGCAUUAGAAGUAGAAAUUGAUCUGAUUUACUGAGGAUCUAAUUUUCUUUUCUUGCCAUAAAAAUAGUAGUUGUUUGAAGGUAUAGAACUGAUAGAGAGAAAAAUAUAUUCUAUAGUUGCUAAUAUACAUAUAUAUGCAUAUUUUUAUAUGCAUGCAUGUAUGUAUGUAUGUAUGUAUGUAUGUAUGUAUGUAUGUACGUACGUACGUAUGUAUGUAUGUAUAUAUAUAUAGGUGUGUGUGUAUAUAUAUAUGUAUGUGGUUUGGAUAUAUGUAUACUAUAUAUAUAAAUAUAAGAAUGGUAUUAAAAUACUGUCAUAUAUAUAUAUAUAUAUAUAUAUAUAUAUAUAUAUAUAUAUAUAUACACAUAUGUGUGUGUGUGUAUGUGUUUAUGUAUAUAUAUGUAUAUAUCAUGUAUUUAAAACUAAUUACUUAAAAAUAAUCAAAUCAUACUAUUUUAAUUUUUACCGAAAGUGUAAAUUAUGCAAUGCACAUGGCAUCCUCCUAGCCAUAUAUAGUCUUGCUCACUCUUACAUAUACACACACAUACACGCUCACAUACCUUUAUAUGCACAUGCUAACACACACACACAUAAUACAUUGCAAGCAUAUCUCACCAUCCACCCUAUUUUAAAGAUUUGAUUGUAACACUUUCCUUACUGUAGUUUUCGAAAAUAUCGAUUUUUUGGUAUGAAAAUGUGUUUCACAUUCAUGUUCAUGUCUCUAUUGUCUGUCUGUUUACUUGGUUUUCUUGUUUAUGUUGCUGCCAUUAAUAAAUUCUAAUGUUUUGGAAUUGUCAGGUAAAAAUCUGACUGCUGCCAACAUUAUUGACCAUCAGAGCACUCAAAACAAGUUUCUAUGACAAAUUACAAAGGUUGUUGACAUUUUCUUCCAUUAUAUUUCCUUUCUUCUUAGCUUAACGGUUGAUCAAGACUGUUGAAUGUAAUAUUAUUUUUUUGUUUGGACAAUCUUCUUUUUUUUGGUGGUGAAGGUCACCAAAUUUUUCUAAGCAUUGAGUGCUCUUGUUUGUUAUUUAAAUGUUUAUCAUUUGAUCUUUUACUCAGCAAUACUGGGGCACUGUCUUGAAAGAUUUUAGUUGAAUAAAUUGAGCCAAAUACUUUUUAAAUCUGGUACUUAUUUUUAUCAGUCUCUAUUGCUGAUCUGUUCAGUUAUAGGGACAUAAGCAAACCACCAGCAAGGGGACAAAAACAAAGACACAUACAUACAAACAUACAUAUAUAUAUAUACACACAUACAUAUACACACAUACAUAUACAUAUAUAGAUACAUAUAUAUAUAUAUAUAUAUAUAUAUAUAUAUAUAUAUAUACAUAUGUAUUUAUAUAUAUUUGUACACAUACAAAUACACACACACAUGUAUAUAUAAAUAUAUAUAUAGAUAUAUAUAUGCAUAUGUGCAUAUAUGAUGGGCUUCCACACAGUUUCUGUCUGCCAAAUCCACCCGCAAGGUAUUUGUUAAACCAGAGCUACUGUAGAAAAAGUUGCCCAAGGUGCUGCACAAUGUAACCAAACCUGAAACCAUGUAGGUUUUUCUACCAUGUAGGUAUACUUGCUACAAGCAACAAGUUUAGCCACGCAGUUACACCAAUUCCUAGAGGCCAUUCCCAUGCUUAGAGGCUGGAGACAUUCCCAAUGCUUGGAAAUUUUCUUACUUCUUGGAACCUAUCUCCGGCUAGGUUGCCUGGGUAUUUUCUCUUUUGGCAGUUAAGUGCAGAGCACACAUAGAGUGCAGUGGACUAAACAAGUUGUUCAUUGUGCCAUCUACUCAUUUCUGGUACCUUGCAACCAUGAAUAUGGUUCAUAAUGCCACAAGCAGUCAGAUUUCGUAAUGGCAAUUCCAAAAUUCCAAAAUUCAAUUCACUCACAUGAACACACACACACACAACUUUGUUUUCUCAGAACCCAUGCUCUCUCUUGCUGGGCAGUGAGCUGUAAUGGAGAGUGAUAAGCUACAAAAAUACUUGGGCACUUACUAAACGACUUCCAAAGUUACACAUACAUACAUAUAUAUGCCUAUAUAAAUAUAUAUAUAUAUAUGUGUGUGUGUGUAUGUGUAUAUAUGUAUAAUUUGCAAACAAAGCUACAAUCAUAUGUUUAAGAAUACUUUUAAUGCUGUUGGAAAAUAAAUACCUGUGGUUAGAAAAUUAAACAAGCUGACCAUUUGAUUAGUUUAGGCUGUUUUCAAAGCCAUUGUCAGGACUUUGUUAUUUUUUCUGGUUGCUGAGCGAACAGAGGAACACUACCUUAUGAAGAAUGAAUAAUGUGAACAUGGUAAAUCUACACCCAGUCUUAAUUACAUCGUGAUGUAACUGACUGAGUGUAUAUUUGUGUAUACAUAUAGAUAUAUAUUCAUUCAUGUAUAAACCCUAGAGUUUACCUUAUUAAAGUCAUUCAGUAUGUGUUUUUUGAAUGACACCUGAAGAAUCAAUAGCUGUAACUAUUAUCACAUAAUAUUGCAAGAUUGAUGAAAUAGAAUUCAGAUGAAACAAUUGUAAACUGAUGUAUUAAAAAGUUGCUCAUUCAUUUUACUUAUUUGUAAAUAUAUAUAUAUAUAUAUAUAUAUAUAUAUAUAUAUAUAUAUAUAUAUAUAUAUAUAUAUAUAUAUAUAUAUAUAUAUAUAUAUAUAUAUAUAUAUAUAUAUAUAUAUAUAUAUAUAUAUAUAUGUAUAUAUGUAUAUGAAUAUGUAUAUAUAUAUAUGAAUAUGUAUAUGUAUAUGUAUGUAUGUGUAUAUGUGUGUGUAUUUAGAGUUCAUGUACUAUAGAUGGGUUAAAACACACUACAUAUGUGUGAAUACAUAUACAGUCACAUACACACACACAUGCAUAUAUAUGUGUGCAUAUGUGUGUGUGUGUAUUUGUGUGUGUUGGCCCAAGCGUAUUAUUUACCUUCACAUGUCUUUUUCCUGUAAUUGUCAACUUACAACUGCUCAAAUGAAGCAUGAAUUAUUUUAAUCUCAGUGAUUCUUUGGGAGCCUGAAAAGGCGAUGGUCACAGACACUUCCUCCAGACAAAUCCAAAAAUAAAAAAUGAAAAACUGAACCUCAUAAAAUUGAUUUGUUUGUGUUUUAAACCAUGUUAUUGUAUUUUAAGCUAUGAAUACUGAAAGUGAUUCAAAUUGAAUCUAACGCUUUUAUAGUUAUGUUCAAAUUCUGUUAUAUUUUGAAUCUAGCCCUUCAUUUUCUUAUGCUAAUAAAAUAUGUACUAAUGGACUACCAUUUCUCUUAUCACAAAACUGGCUUUUGUGCUAGCCAGAAACAAAAAAAUUAUUAUUGCUAUUUAUUUUCUCUGUGUCAUCUGCUUGUUCUGUUCCUCUUCAUUGCUAUUUUAUUUUCAUCUUUUUCUUCAAUUAUCUCCCUUUACAUCUUUUCCUUCUCUUUUGUCUUGUCUCCUUGAAAAUCUUGAAUAUGAGACAGAGAGAUAGACAAGUAAAGAAGAAAAAAACAGUGAAGCUCUUCUCAUUCUUUUUCUUUAUUUUCUGAUUAAGCCCCAUCUUUCACUCUCUUCCUACAACAGAUGGUUGAGUGUGUUAAAAUGACAUAUCUUUCAAAGAACAGAGUUCAAGGUUUGACUCCUGAGUGACACUGCCUUCUUUUUACAUUACUAGUAUUCUUAAGAAGGGUUUGAGACAUUUAGGCACAGCUGUUUUGACCCAACUUAUUUGGGGUCACAGAUUCAAUGCUAACUUAUUUGACACUCUAUCACUCUGUCUCUGUUUAUGUGUGUAAGAAUGUUUCUAUGUAUUGUGUCUGAGGAGAGGGUAAGUUUAUGCUAAUCAUGUUCAAUUCAUAAACUGUAAUCUCUCUCUCCCUCUCUGUUUGUGUGUGUGAGUAUCUAGUUAUGUUUGUGUAAUUUCACUCUUCCUCCCCUGUUUACAUAUAUGAGCAUUUUUCUCUUUAUGUAUGUGAGGAGAUUGAAAAUGCUUCUGUCAUUUAUGUUCAGUUAAUAAAUAGUAAUGUGUCUCUCUAUCUUUCCCUCCUCCAUUUUAUUUAUCUCCCCUACUCUCUCUCUCCAUCUGCCUCUCUCUCUCCAUCUUUCUCUCUCUCUCUCCAUAUUUCUCUGUCUCUCUCCAUCUGCCUCUCUCCCUCACUCUCUCUGUCUCUGUCUCUCUCCAUCUGCCUCUCUCUCUCCUUGUUGAUGUGUGUAAGCAUAUUUCCCUUUAUGUAUGUGAGGAGAUGGAAAAUGCUUCUGUCAUUUGCGUUCAUUUAAUAAAUAGUAGUGUCUCUCUUUCUGUCUUUCCCCUUCUCUUUCUUUAUCUCUCCCUCUCUCUCUCUCUUUCUCUCUUUGUUUAUAUGUUAGCAUAUUUCUCUCUUUGUGUAUGAGGAGAGAGAAAGUGUUUAUGUCACUCAUAUUCACUGUUCUCCCUAUCUCCCUCUCUCCCUCUUUCUGUGUGUUUGUGUGUGUGAACCUAUUCAACUUUAUGUUUAUGAGAAAGACAAAAUGGUUGUGUCAAGCUUGUCCAAUUAAUAAAUUGUAAUAUCUCUCUCUGUAUCUCAAUCUAUCUCUGCAUGUCUCUCUCUCUUUGUGUGUAUGUCUCUCUCUGUCUCUCUCUCUUUCUCUCUGUCUGUCUGUCUCUCACUCUCUCACUGUCUCUCUAUAUGCACGACUUUCUGUGCAGGAGUAUAUAUGUGUAUGUUUCCUUCCAGUGCCAAAAAAAAAAGCCAUCAAAAACAGCUCCAAUAUCCAGACAGUCAUACAAAAUCCCCAGCGUCCAACAGCAUUGAAACAGCUGUAGCCAUUCGUCUUAUUUUAUCUUUAAAAAAAAACAUGUGCAUUACAACACCUAUUUACCAUUCCAGUCUUAUUAGUUUGCAUAUCUAUGUUGGUAAUUUAUAUUUAUUUAAACUUGUGCAGUGAAAAGAUCCUCAUGACAAUUUUAUAAUCCCGGUUUCAAUUUUUGAUCAGAAGCAUUUCCUUUGUCUAUUUGAACUAAAUCUUCCAUGGCUGAUGAUUUUGAGAAAAAACUUCUCAUUUCUUUCCUUGCAUAGUUUACACUAAAAGAGCAUAAGCAAACAUCUUUACAAUGUCAAUAGGUAAAAAUUGCAGGCUAGUAGUUGUGAGUUUAAGGUGCUAUACUAUUGCCCAUAUAUGGUCAUUAGUUACACACACACACACACACACACACACACACACAAAUGCACACACAUACACUCACACACACACACACACAUGCAUAAGUGUCAAAUGAUGACAAUGAAUGCUCAACACCGCAUUGGUGAAGAAAAUUUCUUUAUUUGUGUAUUAAGGCUACCACUGGUUUCAUGCUAAGAAAAAAUAUCUUAAUAUCUUAAUAAUUAUUUUAACAUAUAUAGACAUGUGUGUGUGUAUGUGUGUACCAUUGAGUUUAUGCUCUUGUACAACAUGUGAUAACUUUGCUUGCAUCAAUCUGCAAUAAUGAGAGACUCCACAUCUACUUUAAUACAAUAUAGAUAUACAAAUUUGCCCCUCCCCACCAAAUAUAAAUAGAUAAAAAAAGAAAAAGUAUAAAAUAUAAAUAAACAAUCAAAAAGACAUCAUAUUAUCCCAUCCAGGCAUGCCUGGAAAAGUAUCAAUGUAAAAGUUAUGUAAAUCAGUAAAAAUGAAAGUAAAUGAUAGAAAUAAUGCAGAAAUAUAUAAAUGGAAACUCCAUUUUUUAUCAUUUCAAAGAUUUCUGUUUUUUCUGUGGGUACAUGGAGAAAAAUAUAGAAAAGAACAAAAGUCAGCACAAUCAAUGUAUUUUCUAUUGGAUAUUAUUUAUUCGUGUUUACUUUAUUUUUACUUGUAUAAUGGUGGAUUUCACAUUAGUUAGGUGUCUUUCAAUAUAUAUAUAGAGAGAUUUGAUGAGAUGUAUUUUUACUUGUAGGUGUGUGUUUUUUGUCACCACCCCAUAUGUACAUACACUGAUACACACACACACACAAAUAUGUGUGGGUGCAUAUAUAUAUAUGUAUACAUAUAAACGUAUACAUUUAUAUAUAUAUAUAUAUAUAUAUAUAUAUAUAUAUAUAUAUAUAUAUAUGUAUAUAUAUAUAUAUAUAUAUAUAUAUAUAUAUAUAUAUAUAUAUAUGUAAAUAUUAAUAUAAAUAUAUAUACAUAUGUGAAGAGAAAUGAACAACCAAUCAUAGAUGUAUGGAAUAUAUUGACAUCAGUUGCUACAUAAUUUUAUAUGAAAUAAUCAAGUCUUUACAGCUGUUUUGAUGUAUCCUGUGAAUUGUGGAUGUUUUUAUGCAUAUUAUGCAUAUUAUGUAUAGACCUUACACGACAAAAAAUGAUCAAAAACCACAUAGGCAAACAUAAUAUCAGUAUUCAUUAUGAUAAUUAAGUACCUUCAUAUAUCACGGCAACUAUCUGCAUUAGCAUCCUCAUACUUACUAUAUAUCUAUAAAUGUAUACAUGCAUAUAUACAUUCAUGAAAACAUACAUACAUGCAUACAUACAUACAUACAUACAUACAUACAUACAUACAUACAUACAUACAUACAUACAUACAUACAUACAUACGUACAUAAUUGCAUACAUAUAUAUAAAACCACUGGACACAUCAUAAACCAUUCCAGUGUUGGUGUAUGUGAUUUUGAAAUCCAUGACACUGGUUAUAUUUGCUGUGAAGUUAAUUAUCUCCCCUGUGCUUCUAUCUGUCUUUUUCUUAAUGCGAGCACUCAUUCAAAUGUCUAUUGUAUGGAAUGCAGUUACCAAAUUAUCUUGUUUUCAACCACUUGAUAAACGGGCAAAUAAAUUCAUAUAUCAGCAAGGAAACCGUGGGUAAUGGUAUUUCACAAAAUUUGUGGUUUUUUAUUAUGAUACAUACAUACAUACAUACAUACA